CUUCAUUGUAUUAACCGGUUAUCUCCAUAUCAAUUAAUUGAUAAUGGUAUUCUUUCAAUACUAAUUGUUAGGAUAUCGUAGUCUUAAUUCUAAUCGACGCAAGCAAUUAAUUGUUAUUACUUAUUUUAACCAAUUAGUUUCAUUUAACUAUUUUAUAUUGAAACAUAAAAUUUAUUUUUAUUUUACUUGGUGUUAAAUCAUGGAUUCCAGAGAUAGUGAUGAAAAAAAAUCAUUUUUAUGCAAUCAUAUAAAAAAAUAUAUGAAAGUUGAACCAACUAGUCCAAAUCGUAAUCCUAAUCCUUUUAGCCGUUCAAGCAGUGGUAGUUCUUUGCACACUGGAAAUCAUAGCAGUAGUAGUGGCCAUGAUGAUGAUAGUGAAGAAAAAAGCUCACCUAAUAACUAUAAAGAGAAGCGUAGAGAAGCACAUACACAAGCAGAACAAAAACGUCGUGAUGCAAUUAAAAAAGGCUAUGAUUGUCUUCAAGAUUUAGUUCCUACUUGUCAUCAGACAGAUAGUAGUGGUUAUAAAUUAAGUAAAGCUACAGUUUUACAAAAAUCUAUUGACUAUAUACAAUACUUAUUAUUACAAAAAAAGAAAUUGGAAGAAGAACGAAAUGCUCUUCGUAAAGAAGUAGUUGCUUUACGAAUUAUGCAAAAUAAUUAUGAACAGAUGGUAAAAGCACAACAAAUUCCAAUGGGUCAUGUAGAAACUAGGAUACCAGAUGAAGAAAAAUUUUUAAUGUUUCAGAAUAUUAUAGACGAGUUAUUUUUUACAUUUUGCAAUAUAAAUGUAAAUAAUUUCACCGAACUUUCUGCUUGUGUGUUCAGCUGGUUAGAGGAACAUUGCAAACCUCAGACAUUACAAAAAUUGAUUGAAAGUUUACUCACCCAGGAGAAAAAAAAAUUAAAAACACCAACAUUAUCAAUAAAAAACUCUUCAUAAAGAACUAAUAUUAAAAUUUUGGCAGAUUAAAAUAUUUAUACUUUAGCAAUUAGGUGUUAACAGGGUUUAAUCAGACAUGUGAAUACCAAUAUUGAAAAACAACGUAGACUUGUAGUAGAUACUAAACGUGUAUAACUAUUGUUAUUUAUUAUUUGAUUUUGUUUUAUCAUCCAUUACCAUUUAAAUAAAAUAUUGAUGAAAAUGUGAGAUUAAUGUUAAACUUUGCAAUUGUUAAUUUUGAAAUUUUAAUUAUUUAAUAAACGUGUAAAAUAAUUG